UGGGGUGUAGCUCAGCGGUAAAGCACUUGCCUCCCAUGUGUGAGGCACUGGGUUUGAUGCUCAGCACCACAU
rnacentral:tRNA from 1 species